UACAGAGGGUGCGAGCGUUAAUCGGAAUUACUGGGCGUAAAGCGUGCGUAGACGGUUAUUUAAGUCGGAUGUGAAAGCCCCGGGCUCAACCUGGGAAUUGCAUUCGAGACUGAAUAGCUAGGGUGCGGUAGAGGGAAGCGGAAUUUCCGGUGUAGCGGUGAAAUGCGUAGAUAUCCGGAGGAACACCAGUGGCGAAGGCGACACGCUGGGCCGUACCUGACACUAAAACGCGACAGCAUGGGGAGCGAACGGG
rnacentral:rRNA from 1 species